GAUGAACGCUAGCUACAGGCUUAACACAUGCAAGUCGAGGGGCAGCAUGGUCUUAGCUUGCUAAGGCCGAUGGCGACCGGCGCACGGGUGAGUAACACGUAUCCAAACUGCCGUCUACUCUUGGACAGCCUUCUGAAAGGAAGAUUAAUACAAGAUGGCAUCAUGAGUCCGCAUGUUCACAUGAUUAAAGGUAUUCCGGUAGACGAUGGGGAUGCGUUCCAUUAGAUAGUAGGCGGGGUAACGGCCCACCUAGUCUUCGAUGGAUAGGGGUUCUGAGAGGAAGGUCCCCCACAUUGGAACUGAGACACGGUCCAAACUCCUACGGGAGGCAGCAGUGAGGAAUAUUGGUCAAUGGGCGAGAGCCUGAACCAGCCAAGUAGCGUGAAGGACGACUGCCCUAUGGGUUGUAAACUUCUUUUAGAAAGGAAUAAAGUCGGGUAUGGAUACCCGUUUGCAUGUACUUUAUGAAUAAGGAUCGGCUAACUCCGUG
rnacentral:rRNA from 1 species